UUCCCCAUUCUCGACCCCCCCCCCUCUCUCUCUCUCGAUACUCUCUUUUCCUCCAUUGUUGUCCAUUGAAGAAAGCUUAGAGAAGCUUCAUCAAACAUUACUAUGAAAUAAUCCACCAUCCAAUCCAAUCAAAUACUAGCAUAUCUCAUCAAAUUCAAGAAGCUAGAGCUAAGAUCAAAGUUGGAGCAAAGUCUUGAUCACCUUUUAAAUCCUUGAAAACGAGCAGAGCAAGGAAGUAAGUAACUCCGCUUUGACGGGAGAUUUUGAGUAAGGUCUUCAGGUGGGCAUUAUUUUGAGUAUACAGUUUAAGAGCUUUUCUAAACUGUUUUAAAUGAUGAUGAAAUUAUGAGAUGUUUUGAUGUUUUGAGAUUAUGAUGAUGUUUGAGAAUUAUUGACUUGCCAAUAUUUUUAUGAUGAUGUUGAGCUUGUAUGUUUACCCUCUACUGAUGAGUUGAGAUGAGACGAUCGGGUCCUAGGCAGUUGAUAGCUAUCCUGCCAGGGCUAGUGUACACUGAGGUGACUGUGAGCCGUUGAGCGAAUCGGCCGGUCACAGUGCUUGAGAAGGAGGCCUACUUCUUAGUACCUGAGUUGAGAUGAUGAUGAGUUGUAGAUGUGGUACUUACUUGUUGAGUUUUGACUGCAGUCAUUCGAGUCAUUCAUUCAUUUAUUGAUGAUGUUGAGUUUUAACUGCAUGCACGGAAUUUUCUAACUGUUAUCCCUGGGUUUUGCUGAGAUGUGGCAAGGUCAAUUUAUAGCUCUAUGAGCAGCUUUGUUUUCGGCGAUAUGCCCACUGAGUAUUUAUGUACUCACGCCCUGCAUGUAUUUCUAAACGUGCAGGAUAAGCGGAGGGGGAGUAUGGUGCGGUGCUGGUGGGGAAUGUUUCGGGUUAACGUUUUCUUUCUCUAUCGUAUGUCUGUUUUGUCGAUAGAGUUUUUAUAUGAAGUUAUGUUAUAUUAAAUCAAGCAGUUUACUCACGAUUAUGUGUCUUCAUACAUAUAGUCGGUUCACCUUUUGUUAUCACACUCUGAAUAUUAUGACUCUACAUAAAAAUUGAGCUAUACUUGUUUUGCUUCUCAUGUUGAGAUUCCUGAUAUUUAUCGAGUUAUGACGAUGUUGACGAAUA